UGGGGAAUCUUGCACAAUGGGCGAAAGCCUGAUGCAGCCAUGCCGCGUGUGUGAAGAAGGCCUUCGGGUUGUAAAGCACUUUAAGCGGGGAGAAAAGGGUAGUCAUUAACACUGGCUAUCUGUGAUGUUACCCGCAGAAUAAGCACCGGCAAACUUCGUGCCAGCAGCCGCGGUAAUACGAAGGGUGCGAGCGUUAAUCGGAAUUACUGGGCGUAAAGAGCACGUAGGCGGUUUGAUAAGCGGAAUGUGAAAGCCCCGGGCUUAACCUGGGAACUGCAUCCCGAACUGUCAGGCUAGAGUAUGAUAGAGGUGAGCGGAAUUUCCUGUGUAGCGGUGAAAUGCGUAGAUAUAGGAAGGAACAUCAGUUGCGAAGGCGGCUCACUGGAUCAAUACUGACGCUGAGGUGCGAAAGCGUGGGUAGCGAACAGG
rnacentral:rRNA from 1 species